UUGGAGGGCAAGUCUGGUGCCAGCAGCCGCGGUAAUUCCAGCUCCAAUAGCGUAUAUUAAAGUUGUUGCAGUUAAAAAGCUCGUAGUUGAACUUCGGGGUUUACCCAUCGGUCAGGCUUAAUUGUCUGUACUGGUGAGAUAAAUCUCUACCUUCUGAGGAACUUUCAUGCCAUUUAUUUGGUGUGAUUGGAAAUCAGGACUAUUACUUUGAAAAAAUUAGAGUGUUUAAAGCAGGCUAACGUCUGAAUAUAUUAGCAUGGAAUAAUGAAAUAGGACGGCUUGGUUCUAUUUCGUUGGUUUCUAGGAUCACCGUAAUGAUUAAUAGGGAUAGUUGGGGGCAUUAGUAUUCAAUUGUCAGAGGUGAAAUUCUUGGAUUUAUUGAAGACUAACUACUGCGAAAGCAUUUGCCAAGGAUGCUUUCAUUAAUCAAGAACGAAAGUUAGGGGAUCGAAGACGAUCAGAUACCGUCGUAGUCUUAACCAUAAACUAUGCCGACUAGGGAUCGGACGAAGUUAAUUUUAUAAUGACGCGUUCGGCACCUUACGGGAAACCAAAGUGUUUGGGUUC
rnacentral:rRNA from 1 species